GGAACGGUAGCUCAGUCUGCGUAGAGCGGCCGCCUGAAAAGCGGCAGGUCGUCGGUUCGAAUCCGUCCCGUUCCA
rnacentral:tRNA from 1 species